rnacentral:sRNA from 1 species
CUACUCUUUCACCCUGGCAUACUCUUUCACUUUCACCCACAUGCUUCUUCUUCGCUGAUAUUGAAUGGCUGCCAUCUGACCCCUGCAGUCAAUACCAAUACAAUGCAGUGGAACGUCGAUCGUGCUGCCUUUAAACGCAUGUGCAGGUACAGAAGAUUCUUCACUCCUUAAAAGGAUAUAAUUUAUACGACACGUUCUAUUUGGUGACUCUUGGCUGAGUAUAUCGGGGGGAAGCGAUGAAAAAAGCCACGAAAAGAAAUGGGAAUGGGAAAAGAAGGAUGGACGGAGGACCAUCAAAGGAUCUGUCUCCAGUCGUUGAAAUACCGCGUUGACUGAGGACGAGGGUCCAUAGGAAAUUAAACAAAAGGCAUGCAAGAAGGACCAACUGAGGCGACAAUGAUUCGGGACUCAUAUUUGACAGGUCUCUUCAUAGUCAUUUAAUAUGAGGCCGCAAUCCUGGUACAUUCACAAUGAAGUUUCCUUAAGUGUAUUUAGUCAUUGUAAUUGUGAAUACCUGUCUGUUGAUCAUUAUUUCAAUCACAUUUCCCCUUAUGAUGAAGGCAUCUACCAUGCCACCUCAUCUAAUAUCCCCGCCCUCAUUUUCAUACCCUAGUCCUCAGGAGAUUUUUCAAUUUCCGGCGCAUCCAACCAUCCAACUUUCUCUGCGAACUUAUUCAAUAACCAACCGCUCAAUCCCCAUAUUUCCAAAUGUGCUGGUAUAUUAACCUCAUUGCCCGGCAGAGGUAUCACAAGAUCAUCUGCCCUUAUCUUGUAAUAUGGUCGGAACCUGUUCAGGCGAAAUAGAUGUAUGGAACGGCGUCUUGGAUCAGAUAGCGCUGAGAGGGGAAGGGGUAAGAUGGCGGAAACUUCAGCAGAUGACAGUGUUAAGGAGGAUAGUGGAAGUGACGACAGGGAAGACCCGGCACUGGAAAGUGGCGGUGGUGCUGAGUGAAUGAAACCCUGCAUAUAUAUUAGUUUGAUUCGACAAGAACAAUAAGUUAAGAAUUAGCUGACCACGAAAGGCCAAACCCGAGAACGAUUACCAAGACUGUAUUCCGGAUCUAACAUACCGAGGAUUUCAACACUAGAAGGCGGUAAAGCCAAUUCUUCGUGGGCCUCCCUCAAGGCAGUAUGUAUAAGGUCUCUGUCUGUCUGUGACCAAGGUCAAUUAGCUUCCUAGAAAGAUGUUUACAGCUCACGUCAUCCGCUUUACCACCGGGAAAGCUAUUCCAGUAUAUCCAAUGUCAGCAAGGUUCCGAUAUUCUUGGGAUUGUCACAAUCCCCCCAUUCUAGGGUCC